GGCAUACUAGGGGAAAAGGAAUGCAGAGGAAAGUCAACAGAGGUUGAAACAAAAAUAAAACAUUGUUUGUUUCAGACCAUUGCAAGGGCAUUCCAUCCUUAUGAAAACCAGAGAUACACUGAGUACAGAACAGGGAUGCUGAUUCCAUGAACUCUAAUGAUAUGGCUGCCCAGACAAGAAAUGCAAACUUCUAGCUGGUCUACACGUCAACAUGGAUGGUAAAAAGCUCACAAGUUUUCACUCCUUAGAUGGAGAGAUACAAGCAGUCAUUCCUUUGAAGAAAGGAACCUAGUAUGAUGGUGCUCUGAGAGGCUUUACCCAGCAAUUGACUCAGACAGAUGGAGACACCCACAGCGACACAGUGGACAGAGCUUGGAGAUUCUUAUGGAAAAACUGGAGGAAGGAUUGUGAGUCCUGAAGAGGAAGAUACUUCAUAGGAAGACCAACAGAGUCAACUCAACUGGACCCUUUGGGCUCUUAGAGUAUGAACAACCAAUCAAGGAACAUAUAUAGGCUAAAUCUAGGCCUCCCCUCUCAUAUGCAGCAGAUGUGCAUCUUGACCCUCAUGGAGAGUCUAAACAAUUAGAGCAGGGGCUAUCUCAAAAUAUGUUGCUUGUACUUGUAUGUUCUUCUAGUUGGGCCGCCUAGUCUAACUUCAGAUGGCGAGGAAGCACCUAGCCCUAUAGAGACCUGAAGUGCCAUAAUGGGUGGGAUGCCCAGGGGCAUGGGGCAACCAUACAGAGGAUAAGGGGAGAGGUGAAGGGGAGGGCUAUCAGAGAGAGUGACCUGGAGAGGGGCAGUGAGACUGAUAUAAAGUGAAUAAGUAAAAAAGAAAAAAAUUAAAUUAAAAAAA